rnacentral:lncRNA from 13 species
CUUCCUGAUUCUCUGCCGCUCGAGCGCGCACACACACACUCACAGCCACACGCACACGCCACCCCCACCAGCCCUCGCCACCAAACCUCGCCUUGUCCUCCCCGGGCUCCAGGGGUGGGUGCGGGCAGGAACGGCUACCAGAGCCGCUGCUCCCGACGCACUGGCCCUGGCGCGUACAACACACACUCACACUCACGCGCAGACACACUCCCGCGGGCCGGGAGGGCGCGGAGACUCGAGCCGCGGGAGCUCGCCGCCCCCUCCCACCCCUCCACCCUACUUAGCCGCCCUGCCAAACUUUUUUUUUUCCUGCCUGAUCCACGUCCAACUUCCCUCCACCCCACCCCCCAAGCAGCCCAGCCAGCCCCGUGCUCACCACCAUCCGCAGCAAACAGCAACCCGGAUAAAAAUAAUAAUGCAAUCCAGGCGGCGGAGGCGGAGGCAGAGGCGAGCGAUCAGACACUGGCAGGAGGCGAUUUCCCCGCGUGUACCGGAAACCGGCCCAAGUGCCCCGGCCAAGGCGCGGGUGUCCCCUGGAGCCCGCACUGCCGCGCCCCGCCCAGCGCGCUGCAACUGCCCCCAGGCUGCGAGGCCUGGUGCGUUGCACCGGGGGCACUGUGCUCAGUGUGCGCCCUGUGGCCGAAGGGCGCCGAGGGGCCGGCGCGCCGGACCGGUUAUUUAGGGAAGUGCAUCGCGACACCUUUGCAGAUGGCAUGGCCGUGUUUUGCAACGCAAACGGGAGGAGGGAAGACGGCCGGGUGGAGGGGGAAAGCAAAGGAAGGGGUAAACCAGGUUGGGAUGGGAAUAAAGCAAACUCCUAAGCAGGGAGCGAGAAGGCAGGAGUGCGUGUCAUCGCUAGGAGGAGGCUCCUACCAGGUCUCCCCGCCUCCCGCCCUCGCCACCCCCCUAUUCCCUCCCCAACGCAGCCCUUCCCCUCCCCGGGCGAACGCCACCGCCGCUGCCCGGUGGUGCGCGGGUCCUGUUUGUGACAGGCAGAGAAGAUUAUCCGGAUCAUGGCCUCCCUUGGCCCGCAGCCGCCGUAGCUCUCCCGGGUCCCAGCGCGCCCCUAGCACCCGGACGCUCGCAGGCGCCCCACGCCCGCAGCUCCCGCGCCCCUAG